rnacentral:rRNA from 1 species
GACGAACGCUGGCGGCGUGCUUAACACAUGCAAGUCGAACGGAAAGGCCCUGCUUUUGGGGGGUGCUCGAGUGGCGAACGGGUGAGUAACACGUGAGUAACCUGCCCUUGACUUUGGGAUAACUUCAGGAAACUGGGGCUAAUACCGGAUAGGAGCUCCUGCUGCAUGGUGGGGGUUGGAAAGUUUCGGCGGUUGGGGAUGGACUCGCGGCUUAUCAGCUUGUUGGUGGGGUAGUGGCUUACCAAGGCUUUGACGGGUAGCCGGCCUGAGAGGGUGACCGGCCACAUUGGGACUGAGAUACGGCCCAGACUCCUACGGGAGGCAGCAGUGGGGAAUAUUGCACAAUGGGCGGAAGCCUGAUGCAGCAACGCCGCGUGCGGGAUGACGGCCUUCGGGUUGUAAACCGCUUUCGCCUGUGACGAAGCGUGAGUGACGGUAAUGGGUAAAGAAGCACCGGCUAACUACGUGCCAGCAGCCGCGGUGAUACGUAGGGUGCGAGCGUUGUCCGGAUUUAUUGGGCGUAAAGGGCUCGUAGGUGGUUGAUCGCGUCGGAAGUGUAAUCUUGGGGCUUAACCCUGAGCGUGCUUUCGAUACGGGUUGACUUGAGGAAGGUAGGGGAGAAUGGAAUUCCUGGUGGAGCGGUGGAAUGCGCAGAUAUCAGGAGGAACACCAGUGGCGAAGGCGGUUCUCUGGGCCUUUCCUGACGCUGAGGAGCGAAAGCGUGGGGAGCGAACAGGCUUAGAUACCCUGGUAGUCCACGCUGUAAACGGUGGGUACUAGGUGUGGGGUCCAUUCCACGGGUUCCGUGCCGUAGCUAACGCUUUAAGUACCCCGCCUGGGGAGUACGGCCGCAAGGCUAAAACCCAAAGGAAUUGACGGGGCCCCGCACAAGCGGCGGAGCAUGCGGAUUAAUUCGAUGCAACGCGUAGAACCUUACCUGGGUUUGACAUGGAUCGGGAGUGCUCAGAGAUGGGUGUGCCUCUUUUGGGGUCGGUUCACAGGUGGUGCAUGGCUGUCGUCAGCUCGUGUCGUGAGAUGUUGGGUUAAGUCCCGCAACGAGCGCAACCCUUGUUCACUGUUGCCAGCACGUUAUGGUGGGGACUCAGUGGAGACCGCCGGGGUCAACUCGGAGGAAGGUGGGGAUGACGUCAAGUCAUCAUGCCCCUUAUGUCCAGGGCUUCACGCAUGCUACAAUGGCUGGUACAGAGAGUGGCGAGCCUGUGAGGGUGAGCGAAUCUCGGAAAGCCGGUCUCAGUUCGGAUUGGGGUCUGCAACUCGACCUCAUGAAGUCGGAGUCGCUAGUAAUCGCAGAUCAGCAACGCUGCGGUGAAUACGUUCCCGGGGCU